rnacentral:lncRNA from 1 species
UGAUAAAAACCUCCCAAGGAAUACACUCUGAAAUUGGUAAGGGAUAAGCCUUGCACCGAAUGAGCCCGAAAGCAACAAACGAUCAAGGGAUGUGGAUCGAAAGGUGACACAAGAGGGGCGGAAAGUCUCUUGAUACUAUCCUAUAAUGACCGCCUCUAGAUAUGACACACUAGAUUAGACCAAGUUAGACUGAAGGAUAUUACACACCAACAAUCAUAAAAGUUUUGACCAAUGGAUAUGACAUACCAUGAUCGAAAACAAGUUUGAGAAUCACUCUCAAGGUUCCAAAAAUAUAAACUCAACUCUUAUUUUAUUUCAAUGGAGAUUACAACUUAUUUAUAAGAGACUUAACUUGCUCACAAAGCUAGAUAGUUAUUACAUUGGAAAUGAUAAAACUAGUGCAUGGAGGAGAGAGAGUGUUCUUGAAACAAGCAUUCUUUGCAUGUAGGAGAGAGAAGCUUUCCAUGCAAUUAACCACCUAAUUUUCGUCACUCUCUUUGGACAGCAAAGAAACCACUUGAUUUUGAAUCUUCUUGGGCUUGUAACAUGAUAAAAAUGGGCUGGACAUGCUACCUAACAUCAUGGAUCAAUUUCUGAAUGUCUUUCAUGUCCGUAGAUUCAUAUAUCAGCCCAUGAUCACAUCAUACUCCUCCUCUUCAAAAAGAUUUGUCCUCAAAUCUUGCUCUCCGAAGAAAGAAAAACUUGAAUACACACUUCCCAAAAGAUCCAGCAGAUUUGUAGAACAUAAAUAACAAAACUUUUUUUUUUUUUUUUUUUUUUAG